AGAAAAGUGGCAUAGUGGUUUGAGCAUUGGACUACAACUCUGGCGACUAGGGUUCGAUUCUCAGCUCAUUUG